AUCACAGUUCUUAUUUAUAGAAUAUAGACUUAGAUAACUACAGAUUUACAUGCACUAUUGUACUUACGACGAAUGUUGCUGCCAAAUGAUAUGUGUUCUGCAAUGUUUUAUUUUAUGUUACGUCUCUGAAGUUACGUAUUACUGCCAUUAAAAGCCAUGUUAUAAUAGGAGGCAAUUUUUGCUGCAACGUGCAACGCAGUGCAUCUUUUCAGAAAGUACUCAGCCUUGGCUAUAGAGACUUGUUUUCAUCAUUUGAGAUACUGGGUUUGGUGUCCUUUAUCUUGUUACAUAUCGACACAUUCACGAAGUCAUACAGUUCUAUUUUUGCUUAUUUAUCACGUUUUUAAAUAGCAAACUUUCCAGGUGGGGAUUCUCAAGUUGAGGAUCACGUCUUUCAUCAACUUCGACAGUAACAAAAUGUUCUGUUUGUGCAGAGUAGAAAUAAUCGAAUGUAACUGUGAUGGGCAAGUUCAAAUUUUGAAGCUCAUUUCUUUCCUGAUUGAUCAUCGUGUAAACAUGGAGAUUAGUUAUCACCAGCGUGUCAUUCACAAGCCAACAUGUUCCUCGAAUUCUUCCACACGAAAUUUGACCAAUAGAUCUUAUGUAAGAGGCCAAAUGUUCAUAAAGUAUCGCAGGCUUUUUAGUUGAAAAAUUUUUGAAUACCUCAUCUCUUGCAAAGUUGAAAAUUUGUGUAUCGGUAUCUACAAAUUUUCCAUCAUUUCUUCCAUAUUUAUUUUUAUUCUGUGGAUUCAACAGGUUUUCGUACGCUGACGAUUUAACAUUUGCUGUCAUCGAUUUGCGAACUUUCUCGGUUAAAGGUUGCUUACUCGAUGUAUAAUGAGUAUAUACAUACUUAGCGGAAAAUGUUUUGAUAUAUUCUUCAAGACGAACCAAGUUAUCGUUUGCUAAACUUUCAGUUCUGCCUGGGUUGCAUGCUUCUACAAUCACCGAGUUUACCCAUUUUACUAGAAAGAUUAAAAUUUGAACUUCAUUCAAAGUCCAAAUGUCCAAAUCCAGAGUUUGAC